rnacentral:rRNA from 1 species
GACGAACGCUGGCGGCGUGCUUAACACAUGCAAGUCGAACGAAGUGGCGAACGGGUGAGUAACGCGUAAUCAACCUGCCCUUCAGCGGGUGACAACAGUUGGAAACGACUGCUAAUACCUCAUACUGAAGGAGGGGAUUGCGUCUGAUUAGCUAGUUGGAGGGGUAACGGCCCACCAAGGCGAUGAUCAGUAGCCGGGCUGAGAGGAUGAACGGCCACAUUGGGACUGAGACACGGCCCAGACUGCUACGGGAGGCAGCAGUGGGGAAUCUUCCGAAAUGGACGAAAGUCUGACGGAGCAACGCCGCGUGGGUGAUGACGGCCUUCGGGUUGUAAAGCUCUGUUAAUCGGGACGCGGUACCGGAAUAGAAAGCCACGGCUAACUACGUGCCAGCAGCCGCGGUAAUAC